GUGUGCCACGCGCACACUGCGGUUUCUGCGCGCGCCGUCCACGCCCACCCGACGACUGCUCGCUACGGCUUGCACGCAGCCGUGUUUGCA
rnacentral:sRNA from 3 species